GAUAGUGCUACGAAAUGUUUUAAUGAGAGCGACAUAGUCUGCGACUCGACUCAAUUGUAAACUAACAACUUUAAGACGUUUCAAGUUUAAGGGAAGCCAUUUCCAAUGCUAGAAACAAAAGAAGUAUUUUGUUAGCCGCUACGUGAUGUAUCAGAUGGUAAAUGGAAGGUCUGCGGAAGCUAAACGCCAUGAACUUCAGAAAAUUACUCACGAAAUCAUUACUGAAGGUAUGUCCCUAGAUGAAUAAUUUUAGAUUAUUGUUACAUUGACAAACUGCCCCAUGGUUGGAAAGAUUUUAAAAAUUUGCUUCGCCAUAAAUUAAAAGUUUCAAUUGAAAGUCUAAUAACUCACCUCUGAGUUGAAUAAGAAUCUCAGAGAUAAGAUCAGAAAGAUGAAAUCUUGGUUGUUUCUAACAACAAAAAGAAAUUUGGUACAAUUCUGAAGCUAUCUGAAAACCCACUUAAGAAUCAGAACCACAAUGUUGUGAUCCGAACUAAGAACCUCCUAGGUCCCGAUUGCUCCAAUUACUAUAAUUUCUAUGUAGAAUCCACCACCUCAAAGAAAUGACACUCUUGUUUUCACUAUAUGGCUAAGAGAUGUAAGAGCAUGCAUAAACAUGUUGUUGACUCUAGUGCACCAGUUAACAUGACUGACGAGAAAUUCAUUGCUAUGAUCAAUAAAAUCAACAUGGUUGGCGGAUAGACAUUGGCGCCUCUCGUCAUGUCUGCUAUGAUCGUGCUAUGUUUAAAACAUACACAAAUGUUGAAGAUAAGAGAGUUUUGUUAGAAGACACUCACACCACUAAUGUUGCUAGAAUUGGAGAUGAUGAGCUGAACUUCACCUCCAGAAAGAAUUUAAUCUUCAAAGACUUCAUGCAUGUUCCUGAAAUUAGGAAGAAUUUUGUUUAUCGUUUUCUUUUAAAUAAGCCAGUGUUUAGUCAAUCUAUUGGAGCAAAUUUGUACACCAUCACUAAGAAUUACAUUUUUGUUGGGAAAAUGCAUGUUAUUGAUGGCAUGUUUAAGUUGAAUGUUGAUUUGAAUAAAAUUUCCCCUCCUAUUUACUCUUUGUGUUCUUUCAAUGUUUAGCAUGCUAGAUUUUGUCAUUAUAAUAAGAGUAAUGUCUCUAAUUUAAUCAACUUAGGCUUAAUCCUAAAAUUGAAUGUCAAUGAUUUAGAACAAAAUGAAAAUUGUAGUCAAGUUAAAAUAACUAAGAUUUCACAUAAAUCGAUAAUUAAAGAAUUUGAUCCCCUAGAUCUUAUACAGUCUGAUAUAUGUGAAUUAGAUGGAACUUUAACUAGAAAUAGUAAACGUUAUUUCAUCACUUUUAUCGACGAUUGUUCUGCUUAUACUUAUGUAUACCUAAUGAAGUAAAAGUGAAGCGCUUGAUGUGUUUAAAAUUUAUGUGAAUGAAAUUGAAAUUUAAUUUAGUAAGAAGAUUAAGAGGUUUCGUAAUGAUAUGAGAACUAUGUAUGAUUAUGGUUUAUUUAAUGAAUUUUAUAAAUAACACGGAGUUGUACAAGAAACGACUACACCACACUCUACUGAAAUGAAUAGUAAAGUAGAAAGAAAGAAUAGAAUUCUUACUAAACUUGUUGUUACAAUUAUGUUGAAUUCUGGUUUUACUCCUCACUGUAGGGGGGAAAUUUUAUUGACUAUUUUCUAUAUCCUUAAUAGAGUUCCCAAGUCUAAAAAUAAGAUUUAUCCUUAUGAGAUAUUGAAGAAAAGAAAAACAAACUUGUCUAAAAAAACAUUUUCCUAAAUUCUUCCCAUAGCCUUCACUAAAGCUCUUGCAAGAAAGAAGCACCUUACGUUUAUCAUCUAAACUUUAGCAAGCUUGAGUUAACCCUUACACCACUCACCACAUUGCUAAAGUAAGCAAGGAAAAGAAGAUAUAGAGUAGUAGAGAAUAAAAACCAGUAAAUAGAAGUAGAGAAGAGAUUCUUGAUGUAUUGAACUCACCGGAGUUCUCGCCAGAGUUUCAGACUCUGACGGGGCCUUUUUCUUCCUUUUCCCUUUGCUUUGCUAUCCUUUCUGUUACUUGUCGUUUUACCACUGUUACACAUUUAAUGGUUGUAAGUUGUUGUAAUUUGGCUAAAUAAUGUUGAAUUUGGGGUUUACGGUUCAAGUGGGGGUGAGCCUGAUCCGGGCUUAGGUUUGAUUAUUUGGGAUUUUGGUUGUUGGAUUCAUAACGAGGGAGAGAAACUAUGUAGAGUGUGCGUUAAUCAAUUUUGGUUUUGGAGUGAAUUUGAGAAAUUUGGGAAAUUGCUCAUGAACACCUUCAUGGUGUUCAUGGUGUUGUUCAUAUAAAACACCAUGUUUGAUCUUUUAGAAAGGGGGAGAGAGUUUAAAUUAAUGUUUAUACGGUGUUGGUUAGAGAAAAGGAGAGAGAUAAUGUCAGAGAGAGAGAGAGAGAGGAUGUGGAAAAUGAUCCCCACAUGAGAGUGAUCACAAUCUUAGCUUCCACCAUUUGUUUCCACUUACAACAUAUGGCUUAACUCCUGGACAAUUGAUUGGCUUACUGUCAGGAUAUGGGACCCCGACUCCUACUACCACAUGCCUUUGAUGUUGGCCCUC
rnacentral:lncRNA from 1 species